rnacentral:rRNA from 1 species
UACGUAGGGGACCAGCGUUGUCCGGAUUUACUGGGCGUAAAGAGCGCGCAGGCGGUCGGUCAAGUCGAGUGUGAAAGCCCCCGGCUCAACUGGGGAACUGCACAGGAAACUAGCGGGCUUGAAUCCGGGAGAGGGAUGCGGAAUUCCCGGUGUAGCGGUGAAAUGCGCAGAUAUCGGGAGGAACACCAGUAGCGAAGGCGGCUCGCUGGGCCAUUCCUGACGCUGAGACGCGAAAGCAUGGGGAGCGAACAGG